ACCCAAAUUCCUGACAUAAUGUUCUUCUGUGAUUCAGUUCAUACAUGAUUUUAUUUUUUGGUCUAAUUUUUUUUCACUGAUACAUUCUCAUGAAUAUUCAUGUUUACCAAUACUGAUAUUCUUCCUCUAGAAUGACUCCUCACCCAACUCAAAAUGUCAUGUUAACCUUAAACUUAUUCUAUUACCUCAAUUGAAUUGCACAGAAAAGCAUAUAUAGAGUUGAUGUUGAGGUAGAGGCAUAUAAAAGAUCAUAUACCUGCUGAGAACCUCAAAGGUAGAUGCCAGAAUGAUUCCCAGGGAAUAUGAAGGCAGCUCUGUAGGCCCAGAGAGGAUGACUUCCAGGACAAAGAACAUAGUCAGAAUGAGGCGAUGAAUCUGAAUGUAGCUCUUAUCUUCUCAAUCCAGGAAAGACGGAUACAACCAGGUCUGUUUGGAUACCUGAUCCUGGGUGUGUUUGUGUAACUUUGUAAACUUUGGAAAAUGUCACAGAAAGAUGUGUGCAGCCUCCUUCUCAAGGGGCCCUUUGAAACACCAGGUAAAAGCACGUGGUUUCCAAGGAAAUGAUCUAUUCUCAUUUUAUUCAUUUCAGUGACCUCACCGCACUACCUUGGUGAUGAAACAUUCUAAACCAAGAAUUCAGGUAGCUAGGCACCAGAGGCAGACACAGGCCCAGUCUUCUCACUUGUUUGGCCUCACCAAAUACAGAGUCCUACUUUCUUGGCAUCUACUGAUCGGUGGAUGGCCAAAUGUCAUGAAAGCACUGAGGAGGGGCCUUCCCUGAAAAUAAAGGCACAGGAUCAUGACUGUGUCCUGAAAACUCUGGUGAAUUUUCCCAAGGACACUAGAGCUGAGACAGUAGAGGCUAUUACAGGAAGAAGAAAAAGAAUGUGACAGUGGAUGUAUCCUGUCUAGUGAAAACAUUACCAACACUAACACUGGCAAAUUAAUGCAUGGACAGCUGCUUGCCUUGUGGAUGGGAAAGACCUGCUAUGUUUAUUUUUUCAUGUCUUCCUACUGAAAUUUGGCCACUACAGAGAGGUGCUGGUAGAUUUGUGUAAAAGUUGUUGACCAGCUCUAAGCCCUCUGAAAGCUAUGUAUGGACUUCAUGAGGUGGCUCAUGAGCAUCACUGUGAAACUCAGAAAUAACUGUGGAAUGUAAGGUUUUCAGAUGAUAACUCUGCCUUGAUACAUAGAUAUCCAAGCAGAAUGAGCAAUAGAAGAAAUUCAUUGUCCUAUCUUUGGUCCUGUAAAAAACUCUGUCCAGAGCUUUUGUUAUUUGCUAUUGUUCUCUCUUCAGG